rnacentral:rRNA from 1 species
CCUACGGGAGGCUGCAGUGGGGAAUAUUGGACAAUGGGGGGAACCCUGAUCCAGCCAUGCCGCGUGUGUGAAGAAGGCCCUCGGGUUGUAAAGCACUUUCAGUGAGGAAGAACGCCUGGUGGUUAAUACCCAUCAGGAAAGACAUCACUCACAGAAGAAGCACCGGCUAACUCCGUGCCAGCAGCCGCGGUAAUACGGAGGGUGCGAGCGUUAAUCGGAAUUACUGGGCGUAAAGCGCGCGUAGGUGGCUUGAUAAGCCGGUUGUGAAAGCCCCGGGCUCAACCUGGGAACGGCAUCCGGAACUGUCAAGCUAGAGUGCAGAAGAGGAAGGUAGAAUUCCCGGUGUAGCGGUGAAAUGCGUAGAGAUCGGGAGGAAUACCAGUGGCGAAGGCGGCCUUCUGGACUGACACUGACACUGAGGUGCGAAAGCGUGGGUAGCAAACAGGAUUAGAUACCCCAGUAGUC